UCAAACUUGGUCAUUUAGAGGAAGUAAAAGUCGUAACAAGGUUUCCGUAGGUGAACCUGCGGAAGGAUCAUUAUUGAAUAAACUUGGUUUAGAUUGUUGCUGGUUCUUUUCUAGAACAUGUGCACAUCUGAUACCAAUUUUCAACCACCUGUGCACCUUUAGGAUGGACUUACAGAUAUGUUCUCGAUAUGUGCUCGGUUUUUGGGAUAGCUGGUCUCUGCUCCAGCCUUCCUUCCAUUUCUGUGUCUGUCUUUUUCUACCAUAUAUUCUUAUUUGAAACUUUAUUGAUUUGACUUUACAAUAUAUAUAUACAACUUUCAACAACGGAUCUCUUGGCUCUCGCAUCGAUGAAGAACGCAGC
rnacentral:misc_RNA from 1 species